rnacentral:rRNA from 1 species
AUGAAGUACAUGGCUCCUCGUCAGAUGCACCAUUACAAGGACACAUGGGGAAAGGUCUGCCCCCCGCUCUUCCCCGGUGGCCGGGUGCCCGGUCGCCAUCCUCUCCGUGUGCAGCGGCUCUCCCCCUCUCCCCCCUGGCUCUCCGCAAGUGGGUUUCUCCCCUCCCUCCUCUCCGCUGCCGGUUUGCGGUCGCAUCUCCUGCUCCUGGUAUCUUGGGUUGUGCUCCUGAUGGGGAGCUCUCCAUCUCCCUCUCCCUCUCCUUCUCCGUCUUUGGCUGCUGUGGCUUCGUCGCCGGUGGCGGCGUCGGCGGGGCCAGCAGUUGCCCCGUGUACCCUAGAUCCAGAUCUCAAUGCGGUGGCCUCCGGCCUGCGGGCCUGCCCUCCGUGUGGGCCUGAUGGGCCUAUCGGGGCGGUGUUGGCUAGUGGGCCUCCCCCCCUCCUUUCUUCGGUGGUCGAUUUUCCCCCGCUCGUUUCUUUUGGCCCAGUUGGGCCCAACACCCGGCUACCGGCUCCCCAUCCUCCUUCGGCCCAUUUGGCGAGUCAGGCCCAGGGGGGCACGGCUCGCUCGGGCUAUAUAUGGAUCCCACGCGGUUCGGCGUCCCCCCUGCUAGGGUUUCCUGCUUCCGCCUCUGAUUUGCGCCGCUAUCGCCUUCCCAUCCGUCGCGUCUUUAGAUCCCCUCCACCCCCAUCCCUCCUUCUUUCUUUUGCUGCGGUGAUCUCCAUGGACAAAUCUAGGGGCUCUUCCUGCGAGGCGCUUUCUGGUAGCAAGCGGCGCCGCGAGGACUCCCCCGCCUCCGCGGUGGAGCUAGAGGCCUCGCUCCGCUCCAAGCUGGAGUCGGAGGAUGGGGUGACUGGAUCUGGUCCGCAGGGCUCUGGAUCUGGUGCUUCUCCCUCUCCGGUGCUGGAUCCGUGGGAGGCGGCGGUGGCCUCCGGCGGUGGGGUAUCUUUGUCCUCGGCUUCCCUUCCUACUCAGGGUGCGGGGCGGGGCUCGUUUGCCCCGUCUCGGCCCCUGCCUCCUCUGCCUCCUUGCGCGUUUGGGGCUGGAUCUGGUUUUCGUCCGCCGCCUUGCUCCUUCGCGGGGCCGGCGCGUCGGCCACCUGGUCCGGCCUCGGGGGCGCCCCUCCCUCCGGGCAUGGGGGAUGGGAUCCUUCCUCCUCCUCCGGCGCAUCAGCAACCCCGCCCCUCCCCUUCCUCCCACAGCAACCCUUCGGCGCUCACCUGUUUUGCCUGCCACAGACCGGGGCACUUCCAGUCUCGCUGCACCAACCCCCCAUUCUGCUUGAUUUGCCGUUCUGAUGGUCACCUCACGGUCAACUGCAUGGAUAGGCAGAAGCCUCCCGCGGUCUUCCAGUUUGGUAUGGGCCUCCCUGGUUGCUCUUUCUUUGCCUUUGAUGGUGACCUGCCUGUUCGGGAGGUGGCACCUGCGCUGUCCAAUGCGGCGAUUGUCUCUGUCAAGGACCAAAAGAUCUCGCCCCAAACUCUUCUGGAAGGGCUCCGCAUUUGGGAUGUGGCUGGUUGGGACUGGCAAGUUGUGCAGCUAUCGGACUUUGACUUCUCUGUGGUGUUCCCCUCCAAAGAAUGCCUGCGUAUGAUCGCUUCCUGCACCAGUUUCACCUUGCCCCUUAACCAACUGGUGGUUUCUGUUAAAGCGGCUUCAUACAAUGGUACUGCGGUUGGCCCUCUCUCCCAAGUGUGGGUGUUGAUCGAUGAUCUGCCGGCUGGCCUGCGCUCGUCUGCUUUUCUCAUGUCCUUUGGGGUUCUGAUUGGUAAACCCAUUGAGGUGGAUGAGGAGUCUCUGAACAAGGUUGGUCCUGCUAGGAUGAAGACUGCGGGUGCGGGUGGAGGGGGCGGCGGCGGCUUUCCAAGCUCCACCUCCCCCCCUCCCUCUGUUAAUCCUUCGAAUAAGCAUGAUAAGCAUGACAAGGAAGGGGAUGGUUCCUUUGGUGGCCCUAAUCAGAGCUUUGGGUCUAGUUUCCGCUUCACUCAAUCCGAAUGGGAUGGACUGGCAGACUCAGAACGGGAGUUGUUUCAAUCUCAAGCGCCUGAUGGUGAUGCCCCUCGUGAUGACUCGGUGAUCCCCCCUGCUGCUCAGAAUGCUCCUGCUACUGCCGCUGAUCUGCCAAAGGCUCCGCCUUGCUCGGCCACUCCUAUGUCUGGUGCUUGCUCCACUCUUCCUGCUCGCCCUCUCUCCCCCACCCGCUCGGGAAUUGAAGGUCUUCCUGUCUCUCCUGCUCGUGAUAUGAUGGAAUCCCAGCCCCCCUCGAAGAAGAAAUCCUCAGUGCGCAAGUACUCGGCUAAGAGCCGGAACUCGUCGGGCUCGAAGCAAUCAAUGACGGGGAUUUGCCGGCGUCUUGAUCAAGAUCUGGGCUCCAUGUCCCGCUCGGGCCCCCAUGUUGGCUCUCCUGCUGUGCGGUCGCCUGCCAUCCGUUCCCCGGUGUCCACGGCCCGUAAAGGUAGACAGGUGGCGCACUCUGGUGGUUCUAUCCUGGAACGGGCGGAGAAGCGGGUUGCGGCGAAGGACCUCCCUCCCCCAGGUACCUCCCCAUCCUCAUUUGCCGCUGUUUCUCCGGUUCGGGUGGUUUUAUCUUCGAUGUCUGAUGAUCAUCUUUUAAACAUUAUGUCGGAUGUGGGUGUGGUGGUCGAUUCUUCUGUUGGUUCUCCUAGUUCGCUUCUUGCCAUUAUUCGAGCUAAUGAAUUGGCUCAGGCAGCCAUUGCGAAAGCCAAAGAGGUUGUUGCCUCGCGGGUCGCGGACGCUGGCUAUGCUGCGGGGGAGGCUUCGGGUGCUGGUAGUGGCCAGCCCCCUUCCUGUCCUGCCAAGAGGGGCGCUAAUAAACGUUCUAAAUCCUGCAUGGCCCCCUGCAGGGGGUUCGGUACUAGGGGGCGCCGUGACCAACUUAAAGAUUUGGUUCGUUCUAACUCUAUUGAUUUUGUGGGGCUGGUUGAAACUUUUAAGGAUUCCUUCUCCCCUAGUGAGCUCUCUGCUAUCGUGGCCAAUGCUUUUAAUGACUUCAUUAGUGCUAACGCCAUUCGUGAGCUUCCUCGGGGGGGAGCUCGCUUUACUUGGUCUAAUCAUCAGGCUAACCCUAUUAGAUCCGUGCUGGAUCGUGUUUUCCUUGGUCCCAGGUGGGAUGCCCUGUUCCCUAGGUCUUAUCUUCUCGCUAAAUGCAUUGUCGGGUCUGAUCAUACCCCCUUGAUUCUUGACGAUGGUUCCAUCUGCAAUAGACCUCCGGCUAGAUUUCAGUUUGAUGCUUCUUGGCUGUCGGUUGACGGCUUUGUCGAUAUGGUCGCUGCGAAAAUUUCCCACUCCCUUUCCUCCAACCUCCGCUCCUUUGGCCCUCUGGAUGACUGGCAUUCUUGCUCCUAUUCCCUUCGCAAAUUUCUUAGAGGGUGGUCGCGUAACCAUGCGGCGGAGGAUCGACGCUCCAAAGCCUCUCUUGAAAAUCAGAUCCUGGAGCUGGAUCGUACUGCUGACUCUAUUGGGCUCUCUGACAAUGGAUGGGCCGUUCGUUAUAAUCUGGAGGCUGCACUUUUGCAGCUGCACCAUCAGGCUGAGAUUUACUGGCGCCAGAGGGGCACUCUUAAUUGGACACUCAAAGGGGACGCUCCUACUGCAUAUUUUUUUGCGAUUGCGAACGGUAGGCAUAGGUGCUGUGACAUUAACAGUUUGAUGAUUAAUGGUCUGCGCUCCUCUGACCAGUCGGUGAUUCUAGCUCAUGUAGUGGAUUUCUUCUCAUCUUUGUUAGGGGCUAAACCUCAAUCGGGCUUGUCCAUUUCCCCCCACCUUUGGAGUUCUGGUCUUAAAAUUUCCCCCGAGGAGAAUGCCUCCUUGAUGAUCCCGCUCUCUGAUCAGGAAAUCUGGGACGUGGUUAAUUCUGCUAACCCCAAUGCAGCAUCUGGGCCAGAUGGCUUUUCCAUUCCUUUCUUUCGGAGAUUUUGGCCCCAAUUGAAACAGUUGUGGUGGUGGAAAAUGAUGACUGUGGGGGGCGGGUCGCUGUGGUUUUCGAUUCUUAAGGCCAAAUAUUUCCCCCACUCCGAUCCUAUGUUUGCUCCCGCGCGGCGUGGUUCUCAGUUCUGGAAAGCUCUUGUUAAAGUUAAGCCGAUUUUUUUGGAGCAUGUCAAGUUUUCUGUGGGGAAUGGGUCUGCUGUUCGUUUUUGGUUGGAUUGGUGGUCUGGGGAUGCCCCACUUGCCGUGAGCUUCCCGGUUUUGUUUUCUUAUUGUCCCAAUCCGCAGAUCUCCAUCGCGGAGCUGGCUGCUAAUAAUUGGGAUCUGGCUUUCCGUCGGGCUCUGUCUCCUGAAGAGUUGGAAGAUUGGCAAAGCCUCUCUGCCCUCUUCCCCGUGCUCUCGGAGUCGGCUGACUCGGUGUUUUGGCCACUUUCGGCCUCUGGGGUUGCACUUGCGGCUGGCACCGCAGCUGUAGCCAUGGUGGGCCUCACUGGACUUGGCGGACUCCUUGAAUCACACCUUUCAGGCCCGACGACGGUGGCGCCCCUCUUCUCCGCCAAGGUUACUUUGAGGGUCGUCCCGACCCUCGGCUACUGGGGAAAGGCAUUUACGGUGUCAUCGGUGCUUUCUUCUAAAGCAGCGAUGCGUGCCUCCCGUCCCUCAUCGCGCCCUUCGCUAGGGAGCUGCCGCCCGUCGGGCCGUUCCUCCCGCAGCCUCCCGUCCGUCGUCGCGCCCUUCACCGCGGGAGCUGCCGCCCGUCGCGCCUUCCGCCGCAGGUCACCGCGGGAGCCGCCGCGCCCUUCUCCGCGGGAGUCGUCCGAGCCGCUCAGCUUGGAGUCCUCAACUGCCGUCGCGCACACAGGUGAGAAGAGCGCAACCCUACAGUUUCCUAUUGGGUUGGGUACCGUACUGAUGGCUGAUGCGUGUGGCGGGUUGGGAUUGGGAUGUAGGUGGCGCGACGGAGGGGGAGUUCGUCCCCUCCUCCUCAUGCUCCGCCUGAAUCGCGAUGAGCGAAUGUGUUGUCUGAUGCAGUUGGUGCCAAGGAUUCGAGAAGGUGAACUAAUACCAAGAACCAUGUCGUCGGAUGAUUCUGGAAGAGAUGGUCCUGAUAGUCGAGAUGAUGGAUUAAUAAGACUGAGGGCGGGAGAAGGGAGGCCGGGCGGCGCCGAAGGCGGAGCUCUGCUGCGAGCAUGGCACAUUUCAGUAAGGUUCUGCUGUGUGUUCACAUUAAUUCAGAAAUUCAGCAAAGGCUUAGAGGAAGGCGCUGCAGCGUGGAUGCACAUGGGAUGUUGCAGGAACAUGAACCUGAUGAUGACCCAUAGUUGGAUGUUUGUGAGAGUUAUACUUUUUAUCCAUGCCUCAACAAUCGACCAAAUUAAACGACAGGAUGAACAUUCAGACUUUAUUGAUGACUGGGAUUCUAGGAAGACCAUUACAAACUCGACCAGCCCACCUGUCAUCGCAAGACAAGCUAAAAUGAUACUUUUUUCUUCGGUCGUAAUCCCGGCGUCCUCCUCGCAUCAUUCUGCCGUCGCUGACCAUCAUUAUUCGGCCGUAAUCCCAGCGUCCUCCUGGCAUCACCCUGCUGCGCCCCUGGCCAAUUGCCUGGAGAUACCAUCCAAGCGCGUGUGGCUGCAAAAAAGUAAUCAGAGUUGUUUGACUAUUUGUGCUUCUGUAGUUCUGUACAAUGUUUAUCCGCUGAUCACAACCAUAGAGGUUGCAGAUGAGCAAAAUGGGUUUUGA